rnacentral:rRNA from 1 species
AGCAGCCGCGGUAAUUCCAGCUCCAAUAGCGUAUAUUAAAGUUGUUGCAGUUAAAAAGCUCGUAGUUGAAUUUCGGGGUUAGUAGAUUGGUCAUGCCUCUGGUAUGUACUGGUCUCACUGAUUCCUCCUUCCUGAUGAACCGUAAUGCCAUUAAUUUGGUGUUGCGGGGAAUUUGGACUGUUACUUUGAAAAAUUGAGUGUUUAAAGCAAGCUAACGCUUGAAUACAUUAGCAUGGAAUAAUGAAAUAGGACGUUCGAUCCUAUUUUGUGGUUUCUAGGAUUGACGUAAUGAUUAAUAGGGAUAGUUGGGGCAUUAGUAUUCAAUUGUCAGAGGUGAAAUUCUUGGAUUUAUUGAAGACUAACUACUGCGAAAGCAUUUGCCAAGGAUGUUUCAUUAAUCAAGAACG